rnacentral:rRNA from 1 species
GACAGAGGCCUCGAGCGUUAGGCGGAAUCACUGGCUUAAAGCGUGUGUAGGCGGACCUCUAAGUACCCUUGUGAAAUCCCACGGCUCACCCGUGGGAACCGCUGGGGUAUACUGGGGUCUGGGCCACUCAGGGGCGACUGGAACAGCGGUGGAGCGGUGAAAAUGCGUAGAGUAUCGGAAGGAACGCCGGUGGCGAAAGCCGACGUGCUGGACCCCU